AACCCUCGUGAUCCCGACGUCCAAAUCCUUCCAACGAAGCACUCCGAGCUUCCUUGGGACCUCACUAAGCUCACUAUGAGCUUGGAUUGUCCUAAAAAUCAACCAAUUCAAAGCUCUCAUGAACAGUACACAUUCACGGCAACUUUAGAAACUAGGGUUUUCGAAGUGAAACUUACCUUAAACUGGUACCUACGUGAUCGUGGAGUCCUCAGGAGUGCAUUGGUGGUUUUAAAUCCGGCGUUGGUAAUAGUUUUAGGUGGUUUUGAUGGUUGCCCGUGUGUUCGAGAGGGUGAGAGAGAGAGAGUGAGGUCUGAGGAAGAGAGAGAGAGUAUGAAGGACAGUAUACGGGAAAUGGGGAGGGAAAUAAGGAAUGGGGAUCCCACGUGGUCCUUUUCCAAUCCCCAACUCUAAACCACAAAAUUUUAACCUAAAAAUCUAAGUUCCAUCCUUAUUAAAUUCCAUUUUAUUUUCAAAACUUAGGAACCUAGAUAAUUAUCAACUUGAGCUUCACAUACUUAGUAUUUCUUAAGGGCAAUUUCGUCCAUUCACAGCCACGAAUGUAAUAUUUUGGAACGGGCUGUGACAAUCUCCCCUCCUUAUAGAAUUUCGUCCCCGAAAUUCCAGCAACCAACUAAAUCAACCAUACUCCAACAAUAGCUUCGGGUAAAUCUCUCUCAUCCGAUUCUCUUUCUCCCACAUAAUUUUCUACUGAAUGAUUUCCUUCACAAAGCUUUUACCACUUACUCUGUCUUAAUUCUCAGGACCUUCUUUUUUCCAAUCCAAAGUCGUCCUUGGUUCCUUAUCAAGUCGAAUCCAAUUUAAUUCUCAAUAGUUGCACUAGAAUCUCAUGUGACGACUCUGCCACCUAGCGACAACGCAUCGAACACAAAAUACAUUAAGUACCGUUGCCCUGUCUGGGAAAAAGUUAUUACUCAGCACUGGAGUAAUUGUACUAACUUGGUACAUUGACCAACUAUCACUUCAAAUUCGAUCAUAACCAUCUUGUGUACAAGGAAGCUUGUACACAUAAUCCAAAGUAAUAUCUUUCCAUUUCCACUGCGAAACAGAAAAUAAUUAUCUCAAUCCAAAGGUUUAUCUCUUUCUGCCUCAAUCUGCUGACCAAAUAAAACUGUCAAAUGGUAUGAUAAAUCUUAUUACUUUUGGAAUAUUUCAGAAGUUGAACAGUGAACUUCGUCCAAUAUUUGCUUGCUUCAAAUCCUCAGCAUUCGGUACAUACUUCUUACUUUCUUGUAUCCACAUACCAUUUGAUUCACGAAUCAUUCUUUUUCUUUUCUUUCCUUGCCUUGGUUAAUUCUUAAAUUCCUCGUCAAACAUUUAAGUUUCGAGUACGACCUUACCAAACAGGCCUAACUUGAAAAUUAACAAGUAUAACUUCUUCUCGAUCUUUCAUUCUUAACUUUACUUUAAUUGAUUUUCAAUCCACGAGAAGAUAAUCUUGGCAAGCGUGCCUGACAUUAAUCUUACUGUAGUCUUCUCACCAAGUGCUUCAGCUAGAACAAUUCUACGAUCACCCUGAUCGUACAAUCAUGUUCAUUAAGCAAUACAAUUCACUUUCGCUGCCUCAUAUCAAAAUCCUUCCAAGUAAUGGAUAUUGAAGACUUUUGGAUUCGUAAAAUCUUGCAUUCUUAUCAACAUUUAAGGUCUCCAUAACUUCACAACAAGGAUGGUAAUCGCCAAUCUUAAAUCACAAGUAGGGUACUUCAUCUCAUGAGAUUCCAUUUGUCAUGAAACAUAUGCCAUCACCCUAACAUUUGUAUCAACAUGCCUCCAAUACCAUUCAAGAAACAUCACUAAAAAUUUAUGAUUACCACUAUCUUCUAGGAUUACUAAAAUACGUGUAUGAGUGAGGAAAUACUUUAGUUGUUGAAUCCCUUACUCACAAUUUCCUUCCCACUUAUACAUAACUCUUUUUCUCAACAGUCUCGUCAAUGACAAAGCAAUGACUGAAAAAUCUUUCACAACCAUCCAAGAUAGCCUGGUAAGUUAAGAAAUUCCAAAUCUCAAUUACGACUCGUGGUUGUUCCAAAUUCUCAAUUUCUGCUAUCUUUUAAGGAUUCACUUGAAUACCUUAAGAAUAUAUAACAAUUCUCAAAAUGCCACUUGAUUCAUUUAACUUUAGCCUUUGCUAAACUUAGCAUACAACCAACGUUCUCUCAAUCUUUGCUUCAUCGACUUAAUACAUUUACAUGCUCUGCUCUGGCUUAGAGUAUACCAGAAUAUCGUCAAUGACAAAUGAUAUCAAUCUAUCAAGGCAUUAUUGGAAUACUUCAUCCAUCAACUCAUAAAACAGCAUGAGUAUCCAUAUAGCAUCACCAAACUUCAUAAAGACUAUAACAAGUCCAGAAAACCAUCUUAUGAUCAACGUCACUUAAAAUAUUCAAUUGGUAGUAACCAGAUCUCAAUUCAAUCUUUGAAUCUUCGCAAUUUACUUCUGAGCUGGUUAAAUAAACAUCAGUACAUCACCAUGGAUAACGGUUCUCAAUCGUUACCCGACUCCAUUGUCUAUAAUCAAUGGAUAGCCUUAAAAAUCCAUUUUCUUCCUCACCAACGAACUGGGGUUCCCCCAAAGCGUUGUACUAGGUUGAAUAAAACUUUUAUCAACCAAUUCUUUCAACUGAAUUUCCAAUUCCCUUAACUCAUCCUGAACCAAUCUCCAAUAUAAAUUUAUAUCUAGCAACAAUUCAAUAGCGAACCUCAUAUCUCUGCCUGAAGGCAAUCCAGGUAUACUUUCAAGGAAGACAUCAAGAAAAGUCUAACCCCUUUUUCAUUUUUUCACACUUCUCCGAGCAACAUCCUUUAGUACCACAUGAACUAAGUAUUUUUGGGCAGCCUUUCAAAACAAUCUCUUUGCUUUCACAGCAUAAAUAAUGGCUGAACUCACUUCACUUUGCAUGCCCACUCAUUAAGGUAACCUCUGAUCAUCCAGAUCGAUGGAAAGUGACUGGUUUCCCAUAACAUUCCAUCUAGUCACAACUAUAAACAAUCAAUCUAAUGGAAUAAAAUUAACUGACCCAAUACAUACUUAUUAUUACUGAACAUUCUAAAUAAGUACAACACUAACAUAAAAUAACCUACCGGUUUGCUUGCUUAACGAAUCCACAAAUGAGUUAUUAAUAUUACGGUCUGCAGCCCGCAAUACUGAUAAAUCAUCGUUGUCUCGAUAAGUAGGCAACCACUCUCAAAGAUAUAACAUACAUAAUAAGAAAUAUAUCAGCCGAAGUCAACUAGAAUGAUCAAUACGGCAGAUUCAACUCUUAUCUCAAUAAUACGUCGGCCGGAUCCACUCCGCGUGGUCGGUACGGCCGAACCUAUAACUCACCAAUUUCUCAUGUGUCAGUCGAAUCCAUUUCUCAUGGUCUGUACGGCUGAACAUAUAACUCAUCAAAUCUCUCUGUACUCACGGUCAAUCCGACCAACUACUAAGUUCAUAAACUUGCUUAAUCGACACUACGAUGUCAUAGAAAACUGUUGGGUACAACUGAUUCUAGGGACGAUUCACAAUUCUGUGUCCCCUCUGUUCACAUAAACACAUUCAUUAAUUUCACACUUCCCAAAGUGUUAAUUUUGUACCUGCUGCACAAAGUACAUUUCCUUUACUCGAGACACCUUGUCUCAAAUAUCUGGGAUUACCAGUAUAUCCAUCACUUUUACUCUGACCAGCGACAUUAAAACCUCAGCUGGAAGAAUUAACUCUAGCUUCACUUCUUUCGAAGCUCUGAAUCUUUCUAUAUCCUUGAUAAGACGAAUCAUUAACUUUAUCGUCUUCUUUUAAUUCCCAUUCAUUUCUUAUUCUUCUUUAUUCUCGUUGAUCAUGUUCUCAGAGUCCUCAAGACUCAAUAGCAUCUCGUAUAUUCCUGGUAAGAAGUAUAAUGGAUAGUGGUCACCCAAAAUACCACUUCCCUUUUUGCCACCCAGCUUAAAACAACAUAACACCUCCACCAAAUUAACAACCAUAUCUGGAUGGAACGAGGCAAGUCUGAAAACUUUCUAUAAUAUCCCUCGAUCAUCACCUUCCUUGUCUCAUAUUUGUAAACUCUUGUUUACUACCAUCGAUAAAUGUCGGAGGGAUAAACUUUUCCUUAAACAAGUCCUUAAACAAUUUUAAAUCGGCUGUUCCUCCGGUGACAACACAUCAUACUCCUGUUUCCACCGGAUACAAAUUCAUACCCAAAACCAGGUAGUCGUCUCGACCCCCUGUCAGAAGGAAAUUUCCUUUGACUUGCAUAAUCUGAAACAUCUUUUCCAAAUGGUUAAACCGUUACUUCGCUCUCUCAGGUUCAUCAUUUCAUAAGGUGAUUCAAGUUCAACUCAUUACCCAUCUUAAAAUGUCCCUUUAGACAAUAGACUGAAACACCAUAGUAAUAGUUUCCCCCCUAAACCGCUAAAUCAGGGAGACUAAGUUCCUCUAACUACGUGGCUUGCUACGAGGCGGUGUAGUUCUGACAGAAUUCACUAGAACUUCUCAAGAUGUCCAAGAUUGCAACCAUACUCUGAUACCAACUGACACACCCCGUCCCGAAGGAGGGCAUGCUGGCCGUCACGUGAGAGUGACGUAACCAUUUGCACAGUACGGAAGCUUUAAGAUACAAUUUAUAAGUUGAUACACCCGAAGGUGAGUCCUAAUUUUGUCCAAUCUGUCAGAACACCGUCAAAUUCCUCGUAGUCACCACACCUUUGUGAUUCCUGAACCUGGAGGGGCGCAAAACCAAAAUUGAGUGGGUCAGUAAAACCAUUCUUUUCCAAAUCCAAACAUUUCUCAAAACGUUGUAACCCCUCUCCGUAAAACCCGUAUACUUUCCCAGAAAUGUAAAAUAUAAAUAUACAUAUAUAUUCUCAAGACUUCAAGUCAUUAACUCAACAUUUUCAUCAUAAUUAUGCCAUGCCAAAUCAUCUCAACAUUUCUCAUAUUAAUUAUGCCAUGCCACAUCAUCUCAACAGUAAUAAGGUAUGAAUGCAUCAACAUAAAUCAUAUCAGGUGCAAUAAAGUAAUCAACCGGAGGCCCUCUAUUAGCCCGGUUGAACCUAGAGCUCAAAAUCUAUCACUCUCACACUCUGCCGGAGUCACUCCGCGUGACCUGUUCGGCCUUCUGCACACAAGUUACGCUCUAGUGCUUUCUCAUCAAUCAUCUGUGCACAUAAUCUAAGGUCACCCACCAGUCGGAAUCUCACUAACACUCUCGCGACUGGCCUGUCGUACCCACUCCGCGUGGACUGUACGACUAGCAUCUACUUGGAUCCAAGACGAGCGUGCGAUGCGGUGAAUACUAUAAGCACUAAACCAUGGUGCAGGAUUUGAGCUCAAUAUACAUUAACAUCAUCAUAUCAGUAUUUAAAUACUCACCUGAUACUCACCUGUGCGUCCGCCGCACCAUUCAUUCAUAUGCAUCAUAUCUCAAUUUCAUACUUUUCAUAUCAUUUCAUGCAUGGCAAUUCGAUUCACAUUUCUAUAUACUUUUCAUAUACUUUUAUGCAUGGCAUCUCAAUUCACAUUUCAAUAUACUUUUCAUAUAAUUUUUAUACAUUGCAUUUAAAGCAUACUUUCCUUCAAUUUCAAUUUCUGGGAAAACGUCAAGUAUAUAUAUAUACGGAAAACAAAACUGCCCACUCACCUGGAGUUCGCCCUACAACUCCCUAGCACAAUACGCCAAGGCGUCAUGACGAUCGGCGCCUAAAACAAUAAUCAAUUCCAACCUCAGAAUUCAUAUCGAUAGAAUAUAUAACUUAUAUAAAAUACGUCACUACGUAGUUCAAUCCGGAAGAUCCACCACUCAGAUUUUAAAUCCAUAACUUCCAGAGGUCCACAAUAUAUCUCUAGGAUAACAUCCUAAAAUUUCAUUACCAUCCAACGGUCGGAUCAUCAAUUCACAUUUUCACCUAAUGCGAAAACUAUAAAACGUUAUUCGAACACCUAACCAACAAUCCUUAAUAACUUUCUCAUACGGUGCUCAACUUGGGUAUAUGAAUAUACCACAGUGAUCUACUCGACGUCACGGACGUCGACAUAUUUUUAAAAUAAUUUUUUACUGUAGCACGCGCCCCCACGCGCCAAGGAAGGCACGGGUCCACGCGCGCCCACGCGCACCUUCUUCCUCGCGGGUUCGCCGGACUGGUUUUUCCGGUGGCCGGAAAACUGGGGAAUUUUCAAAUGCUUCGUUCUCCUUCGUUUCUCAACCAUUUUCUUCGUAUAAUAUAUCAAUUUAAAGCCCUCAACAUGUAGAAUCACAAUAUACUACUUUUAAGCUUCAAAAACAACUAAAUCUCACCGGAAAAAUCCAAGCAAAACCGGCCAAACUUAACCCUCGUGAUCCCGACGUCCAAAUCCUUCCAACGAAGCACUCCGAGCUUCCUUGGGACCUCACUAAGCUCACUAUGAGCUUGGAUUGUCCUAAAAAUCAACCAAUUCAAAGCUCAUGAACAGUACACAUUCACGGCAACUUUAGAAACUAGGGUUUUCGAAGUGAAACUUACCUUAAACUGGUACCUACGUGAUCGUGGAGUCCUCAGGAGUGCAAUGGUGGUUUUAAAUCCGGCGUUGGUAAUAGUUUUAGGUGGUUUUGAUGGUUGCCCGUGUGUUCGAGAGGGUGAGAGAGAGAGAGUGAGGUCUGAGGAAGAGAGAGAGAGUAUGAAGGACAGUAUACGGGAAAUAGGGAGGGAAAUAAGGA
rnacentral:lncRNA from 1 species